rnacentral:piRNA from 1 species
UGACAGUAUGAGGAAUUGAGU